rnacentral:rRNA from 1 species
CCUACGGGAGGCAGCAGUGGGGAAUAUUGCACAAUGGGCGGAAGCCUGAUGCAGCGACGCCGCGUGAGGGAUGACGGCCUUCGGGUUGUAAACCUCUUUCGGUCGGGACGAAGCUUCGGUGACGGUACCGACAGAAGAAGCACCGGCUAACUACGUGCCAGCAGCCGCGGUAAUACGUAGGGUGCGAGCGUUGUCCGGAAUUAUUGGGCGUAAAGAGCUCGUAGGCGGUUUGUCGCGUCUAUCGUGAAAACCUGCGGCUUAACUGUGGGCCUGCGGUGGAUACGGGCAGACUUGAGUUCGGUAGGGGAGACUGGAAUUCCUGGUGUAGCGGUGAAAUGCGCAGAUAUCAGGAGGAACACCGGUGGCGAAGGCGGGUCUCUGGGCCGAUACUGACGCUGAGGAGCGAAAGCGUGGGGAGCGAACAGGAUUAGAUACCCUGG